GGAGAGUUUGAUCCUGGCUCAGGACGAACGCUGGCGGCGUGCCUAACACAUGCAAGUCAAGGGGUGCAGAGGUUCGUCCUCUGCUGCCACUGGCGCACGGGUGAGUAACGCGUAGGUAACCUACCCUCAGCCCUGCCAUAACCCCGGGAAACUGGGGCUAAUAGCAGAUGAGGUCGGAGUGGGGAAGAUCCCUCCGAUCAAAGGGGCAACCCGGCUGAGGAUGGGCCUGCGUCCUAUCAGGUAGUUGGUAGGGUAACGGCCUACCAAGCCGACGACGGGUAGCUGGCCUGAGAGGGUGGUCAGCCACACCGGCACUGAGACACGGGCCGGACUCCUACGGGAGGCAGCAGUGGGGAAUCUUGCACAAUGGGCGAAGAGCCUGAUG
rnacentral:rRNA from 1 species